rnacentral:rRNA from 1 species
GUAGUCGUUUUUGCAUUAGUUGCAACUUCCUCAGUCUUAGUAAUUAGUGUACCCCUUGUAUUUGCUUCUCCUGAUGGUUGGUCAAAUAAUAAAAAUGUUGUAUUUUCCAGUACAUCAUUAUGGAUUGGACUAGUCUUUCUCGUAGCUAUUAUGAAUUCUCUUAUUAUCUUUUUUGCUAACUCUAAUGAUAGAGAGUACUGUAUCAAAGAAAAAGAUCAAUAUUUUGCUAAUGCUCCCGUGGAUACCAUGUGUUGUUUUCCGAAAAAAAUUGCUCUAUCUUUAAGUGCUUUUCAGGUUUCACUAAAACCAGGACUGUGA